AGCAACUGACGAGUCCCAAGUAGAACGAAACGCGCGUCCUGGAU
rnacentral:hammerhead_ribozyme from 1 species